rnacentral:rRNA from 1 species
ACAAACACCCGCCUGAGAACUACGAGCACAAACGCUUAAAACUCUAAGGACUUGGCGGUGCCCUAAACCCACCUAGAGGAGCCUGUUCUAUAAUCGAUAACCCACGAUCCACCAAACCACUUCUUGCCAAAAUCAGCCUACAUACCGCCGUCGCCAGCCCACCUCCAUGAGAGUACAACAGUGAGCUAAACAGCCCACAACCCGCUAAUAAGACAGGUCAAGGUAUAGCCUAUGAAGUGGAAGAAAUGGGCUACAUUUUCUAAAGUAGAAUAAACCAACGAAAGGGGGCCUGAAACCUGCCCCCAGAAGGCGGAUUUAGCAGUAAAGCAGGACAAUC